rnacentral:rRNA from 1 species
UACGGAGGGGGCUAGCGUUGUUCGGAAUUACUGGGCGUAAAGCGCACGUAGGCGGCUUUGUAAGUUAGAGGUGAAAGCCCAGGGCUCAACCCUGGAAUUGCCCUUAAGACUGCAUCGCUAGAAUUGUGGAGAGGUAAGUGGAAUUCCGAGUGUAGAGGUGAAAUUCGUAGAUAUUCGGAAGAACACCAGUGGCGAAGGCGACUUACUGGACACAUAUUGACGCUGAGGUGCGAAAGCGUGGGGAGCAAACAGG